CACAAAAGGAAGGAGCAAAUUAUUUAUCCAGCAACUCGUCUUUUUCUAAAUUUGUAUGCGAAAAAUCUUGAAUCUACAAAUGUUAUCAUUUUGUUUUCCAAAUAUUUUUGCAGUUUGAGAUUGUACAACCCUGUCCCAAACCUGAUUGCCAAAGCAUCUGUCGAUUUUGAAUCAUUUAAUAAUUUGGCAGCUUCCGUGAACAGCACAACACCAUUUGCCUCCAUACCUCAUUUAGGAGUUGACCUCAAAGCUAUCACCACUGACAUCAACUUUGAGCGGUAUUUGAAGAUCCUUUGGAAAAAUAACUCUGCACUUUUCAAUAUGACUCACCACAUGAAAGUUGGUCCGAGCAGUAAUGUAACAAACGGAGUGGUGAUGAUUGAAUUUCCUGUUGCCUCCCAACAUAUUGGAAAACUUGUUUAUGGUUAUGAGGAUUCUGGAAAGAAGCUGAACGGGUUCUCUACAGUGAUUUUCAACAAUGAAAAAAUCAUAGACUCCAAAGUCUCUCGAGAAACAUACUUUGGACCUCAUUUCCGAGAGGAUAUCGUGAACCUGUCUUUGGACAACUAUUUUGUUCCCAUUGGAAUUGGAUACCUUGGUCAGCAUAGCCAGCCAAAUUUGAAAGUGAAGGACACUUUUGUCAAUUUUAAGAGGAUGGAGUUCUACAAGCUUCAUAACAGAACGGCCUUCAACCUUACAGGAGAGGUGUUGGUUAAUCAAAAUGCAACUGGAAGACUUGACAGCUUCAAAUGUGAGUAAUAAUAAUGUCUUCAAACUAAAAAUUAAAGUUACCGCUUGGAAAUAUUUAAGAAAUCUGGAAGAAAUUUCAACAAUUGAACAGCCUUAGACAUUUAAUCAGUAUUGUUUUUGUGAAGUCUCUAUAGUUAAAAUUAAAGCAUACAACUUCUGAACUGUCUCAAUGAAAAUCAACUGGUUAGCUGCCUCAGUUCAAAAUAUUUAACUCCAACCCUGAUGCCUUUAUACUAUCCGAUCAAUAAUUAAGUCUCAAGAAAUCACUUGUGUAAAGGCUGAAAUUUACUAUCGAUGAUAACUACUAAUUAAUUAAACCUUAUUUCUUUUGUGCUGCUCUAGUAAUGAAUGCAAAGCGAAGUCUUGUAAUGCAGUCAUACCUGGGCAAAAAUUAUCAUUAUGAGCAUAGAACGUUCCUGACACUGAGGAAUGAAUUAUGGGCUGGAUAUGAAGUGAAACUGAGCAACAAAGAGACGGUAAGUUUUUGUGUGUUGAAAGUUCAAAGUUGUCAAUUGAGAUGAAUUUUUAUUCCAAGGAAAGGAGAUUCUAAUUUAUAGACUUGUGCAACUCUGAGAGUAUUCUCUCUGAAAUUACCUGAUGCUUCUUAUGUUAAAAAAUCUGUGGAAACGUAGAACAUUAUCAAAAUCUUACGCAUGUGAGAACGCCUUACACAUUUUUUACAAAACUAGUAAAUCUAACGUUGGACAAUAACUAUCCUCCCUCUCCUGGGUUUUUUUUUUUUUUUUUAAAGAAUCCAUGUCAGUUACUUUGUCUGUUGGAAUAUGUUCUCCUCAUAUCUAAUUCCAUAUUGAUUUUUGCAGAAUUGGUUUGGCAAGGCAGUAGAAUUCAAAUUGACUUAUCCUCUUAGAAAUAUCACUCUGAUAGGGGACUUGAUCCUUGGGGACUCAUUCCUCAACUCUCAGUUAACGGUGAACUCGGACACAAUUUACAGCGCCAAGACAGUAGGAA
rnacentral:lncRNA from 1 species